AAAAAAAGAAAANNNCNNNAAGGGGCAGCGCGAGCUUUGAUCGGCCGAGCUACGGAGAAGGGGGAGUUUACUGCUCUCGCUAUUAGAUGAGCCUAAGUCGGAUUAGCUAGAUGGUGGGGUAAAGGCCUACCAUGGCGACGAUCUGUAGCUGGUCUGAGAGGAUGAUCAGCCACACCGGGACUGAGACACGGCCCGGACUCCUACGGGAGGCAGCAGUGGGGAAUAUUGGACAAUGGGGGAAACCCUGAUCCAGCCAUGCCGCGUGUGUGAAGAAGGCCUUUUGGUUGUAAAGCACUUUAAGCAGUGAAGAAGACUCUUCGGUUAAUACCCGGAGACGAUGACAUUAGCUGCAGAAUAAGCACCGGCUAACUCUGUGCCAGCAGCCGCGGUAAUACAGAGGGUGCAAGCGUUAAUCGGAAUUACUGGGCGUAAAGCGAGCGUAGGUGGCUUGAUAAGUCAGAUGUGAAAUCCCCGGGCUUAACCUGGGAACUGCAUCUGAAACUGUUAGGCUAGAGUAGGUGAGAGGGAAGUAGAAUUUCAGGUGUAGCGGUGAAAUGCGUAGAGAUCUGAAGGAAUACCGAUGGCGAAGGCAGCUUCCUGGCAUCAUACUGACACUGAGGCUCGAAAGCGUGGGUAGCAAACAGGAUUAGAUACCCUGGUAGUCCACGCCGUAAACGAUGUCUACUAGUCGUUGGGUCCCUUGAGGACUUAGUGACGCAGCUAACGCAAUAAGUAGACCGNCUGGGGAGUACGGCCGCAAGGUUAAAACUCAAAUGAAUUGACGGGGGCCCGCACAAGCGGUGGAGCAUGUGGUUUAAUUCGAUGCAACGCGAAGAACCUUACCUGGUCUUGACAUAUCUAGAAUCUUGCAGAGAUGCGGGAAGUGCUUCGGGAAUUAGAAUACGGGUGCUGCAUGGUUGUCGCAAGUCGUGUCGUGAGAUGUGGGGUAAGUCCCGCAAGAA
rnacentral:rRNA from 1 species